AGUCCAUAUUGUUCCUGGAACUGACUUAGUGUUAAUUACAGUUGCUUGUUGCUCAUUUUCAUCAUUUAAUUCAUCCCAAAUUAAUGGGAAAUUGAUUUUGUUAAAUUCGUCAGACAUCUUGAGGUGUUUUCAGAAAAAUACGGUCGUGUCUAUUGUGGAUUCGAAAUAAAUUGUGACAACAUAUCCAACCGGAUCCAAUCUAACCCUAACCUUUUACGGCAAACCUUUGUUGUAUCCCACACUACAAACAAACCGGUUUCAUUAUAGACUCUACGGAAAAAUACAACAGACAAGGUGCGUGGGAAAAACGUAGUCCCGAUUCGGCACGUGCCAUGGUUUAGAGCAGAAAUUUAAUCAUUGGGGCUUGAAUCAACCGAAUUCGCUGUAAAAGUGUGAUAAACAUUUGUCCAUAACUUCCUGCUAAAAAAUAAAAUUUGAUUAAUCUUUUUGUGGUCUGUCUGUUAACAUCUAAACGUUAUUACAAAAUAUUUAUCGCAAAACAAGUUUUGCAAAGGGUUAUGUUGAUGCAAAACGAAUUUCUGCAUUGUACAUGACGUUAACAAACAUCAUUGUUUCAAGAGCAUUUUAUCAAAUUAUUAACAAACUUUGUUGUUCUGAUUUCCUUACAAUUGAACCACUCGGGCUUGCAAUCACAAAAUCACAUUAUGCGCUCAUGCAAUUGAAACGUGUAGUUUUUCUCAGAGGCACAAGCCGCGAUAUGUAUCAACAGUAAAAGUUAUCGUACGUCGACGUCUUCGCUCACGUUACGUGCAAAGCAACGACGAGAACGCACUGGUACAAAAUAAAAAAUGAUGGAUGUAUAAUUACUACGAUUUGAAGAGCGCGCCUGAAUUUAAACAACAUGUUGUCAUGAUUUGGAAAAAGCGGUUUAUAUGUGAGUUGACGUAUGUUAAACAAGGAGGCUGUGGCUCUUCUUAGAAUACUUGACGUGGUACUUUUUGUUUAAUACUUGUUUUGAAACUGAAUAUCAUCUUUGGAUUAUCAAGCGAAAACAGGAUGCAACUCCCGAUUGCCAAUUGGACAACGGUUUUCUUCGCAACGCUUAUGCGAAGUAUAAAACGAAACGUCCAUCUAGUUCUACUCCAUACCAACGAAUUGACAGAUACACAGAAAUCAAGAUGAAACAUAAAACACUCAUGACAUUAUUUCUAUUGGUGACAAUGGCUGCCGCCUUACCAUUAGAGCUAUCAGACGGCAGUAGCGACGGUCGUGCCAUCGAUUUACUUUGGGGCGGCGGCGGUGGUGGCGG